AAGCAAAUCAGUUCUAUCGCUGCUUCUUCGGAAGGAGAGGAAAGUCCGGGCAACAUAGAGCAACUCACUUCCUAACGGGAAGGCAUUGCGCAAGCAAUGACAGCAAGUGCCACAGAAAAUAUACCGCCUAUCGCAAGAUCGGUAAGGGUGAAAACGUGAGGUAAGAGCUCACGGUCUUGUAUGGCAACAUGCAUUACGGUAAACCUUGGGUGUUGAAAGACCAAAUAGGUUACGGAUUUUGAAGGUUGCUCGCCUUCUUUUUUAACGAAAAUCCGUAAUGGGUAGGUUGAUGGAGCUUAUUCGCGAGAAUACGCCUAGAUAAAUGAUAGAAGAUCUUGCAAAAGAUAACAGAACCCGGCUUAUAUGAUUUGCUUCUUU
rnacentral:RNase_P_RNA from 2 species